rnacentral:lncRNA from 1 species
UUUUUUUUUUUUUUUUUUUUUUUUAAUUGCUUUUUUUUUUAGGGCUGCACUCCUGGCAUAUGGAGAUUCCCAGGCUAGGAAUCUGUAGCUAAUUUGACCUACAGCUGCCUGCCAGCCGACACCACAGCCACAGCAAUGCAGGAUCCAAGCUGUGGAUGUGACUACACAACAGCUCACUGCAACGCCGGAUCCUUAACCUGCUGAGUGAGGCCAGGGGUCGAACCAGCAACCUCAUGGUUCCUAGUCGGAUUCGUUUCCACUGAGCCACGAUGGGAACUCCUGAAAUUAAGUGGCUUCUGCUUAGGAACCAGCAUCAUGAUGCUACUUGUAUUACAGAAGCCCGUUACAUUUCAUGCCAUUUAGCAAACAGAUUUAGCAUGUGACACACAUCAUUUCUUUGUCUUCCAAACAUUCUCAACAGUGCUUCUGUUCACAAUACUGAAGAGAUUAUUCUGAUUAUAUAUUAUGUUCUUUAUUGAGAUUAAUACUGGUUUCUAUUAAACUAGAAAAGAAAUUACCAAUUGCUUGUUCCCUUUUUCAGCCCACGCUAUGCCCACGCUAUGCCCUCACCCUUUCCUUCUAGUUACUAACUCCUACUUUCAUUUCCCACCCCUUAGCUUACUUUAUUACUUGGCCCUCAUCUUUUAAAAUACGUGAUUUAAUCUAUUUUUAGUUACAUUUCUAUCCGCUUUUAGUGUAAACUAUCAGGAUUCUUUUGUUUUUGUUUUUGUUUUUUGUUUGGAAGCAACAGGAUUGUAAUUGUAAAGAAAAAAAGAUUCCUGUUGUUUCUUAUCUAAGGAGCAUCUUACAACAUAUUCUCAACAAACCCCAGCUUGAUGAGGAAGUUGACAAAUUUCUUUCAGGAUUUUAGGCACUCCCCCUGCCCCAGAUUCUUUUAUUAUAAACAGUAUGACUACAGUCUUUAAACAUUCAGUGUUAUGCCAUGUAUUUUCCAUAAAUGAUUGUUUAAUCAUGUUCUUCCGAGACAGAAGAAGCUUAAACCUUGGGAAUAGAGACAAGAAAGGCUAAAAUUAUUUAUGCUCUACAGGUUGUCUUUUAAUGGUUCUCUCUGCCUCUCUGGGCUUUAAAGCCAAAUAUUUAAAUAGUUGUUGUGAUAUGUAUAAAAUUAGGAGAGUUGAGUAUUUCCCUUGAGAUCAGUGAUUUCCAACAUUGAUUUAAUGUUACCCUAGUGAGUGUCUGAUAAUUUUGAAGUAGUACAAUAUUGAAAAUGCCUUGCGGGAAAAUUUCCUACAUGGUAAUUUUAAAUAUAAACAUAUGCCGUAUGGUGCUCUUGCUCAGUCUCUGGCCUCUCUCCUCCCCUCUUUCUCUUCCUCCCUCUCCCCUUCAACGUGUGUAUGUGUCUGUCUGUCCGUCUGUGCUUGUGAAGAAGAUUGAUCUCAUUCGUUACUGUAUACUUAGAAAAGUCUUCGACUUUUCUACUGGUUCCUGGAAGUAAAAGGGACCUAUGAAAUAGAGGCAAACACAUGCUCAGAAUUCUUCUCUUGCUUUCUGAGCAAUCAGAACAAUUUUGAUGGCCAGAUAUUUAGAAAAAAUCACUUUUUUUUUCAUAUUUUAUUAUCAUGUGUCUGAAACUCUGUUUUUCUGUUUCAAGAAUCUUUCCAACUACAGGAGAACUCGUGUGGGUGAAAUGAUACUUUUGGUGAACAAGAAUUAGGAAGAUAAUGAUAGGAAACCUCAGGCUAUGUUAUUAAUUGAUCAAUUGACUGAUUGAAGUAUAGUUGGUUUACAAUAUUAUAAUAGUUGCUGGUGUACAACACAGUGAUUCAAUACUUUUAUAGAUUAUACUCAACAUUAUUAUAAAAUAUUGGAUAUAUUCUGUUUGCUGUACAGUAUCUCCUUGUAGCUUAUUUACUUUAUUCAUAGUAAUUUGUACCUCUUAAUCCCCUAACUUUAUCUUGCCCCUUCCUCCUAAACCUAUUCCCACUGGUAACCCCUAGUUUGUUUUCUGUUUCUGAGAGUGUGUUUUGUUAUAUUCACUAGUUUGUUAUAUUUUUUAGAUUCCACAUGUAAGUAACGACAUACAGUACUUGUCUUUCUCUAACUUAUUUCACUAAGCAUAAUACCCUCUAGGUCCAUUCAUGUUGCUGCAGAUGGCAAAAUUUCCUUCUUCUUUAUGGCUGAGUAGUAUUCCAUUGUGUAUAUACAUACCACAUCUUUAUCCUUUUGUCUGUUGGUGGACACCUAGGUUGUUUCCAUGUCUUGGCUGUUAUAGAUAUUGCUGCUCUGGGAGUUCCCAUUGUGGUGCAGUGGUUAACAAAUCUGACUAGGAACCACUGAGUUGCAGGUUCGAUCCCUGGCCUUGCUCAGUGGGUUAAGGAUCCAGCAUUGCCAUGAGCUAUGGCACAGGUUGCAGAUGCAUCUCGGAUCCUGCAUUGCUGUGGCUCUGGCAUAGGCCAGCAGCUGUGACUCCGAUUAGGCCCCUAGCCUGGGAACCAUCAUAUGCCAUGGUGCAGCCCUAGGAAAGACAAAAAGACUAUAUAUAUACUGCUGCUGUGACCAUUGGGGUGCAUUUAUCUUUCCAGUUAGUGUUUUCAUUUUCUUCAGGUAUAUACCCAGCUGUGGAAUUUUUGGAUCAUAUGGCAGUUCUGUUUUUAGUUUUUUGAGGACCUGCCGUACUGUUCAUAUCUUGUUAUUUAGACAUGCCCAUCACUGGGUGGGUUUGUGGGAUUGUCGUUGCUGGAACUAUCCCGUCCACAUUGUCUACUUUUAUAUCUGCUUCCAGUGCUAUCGAUUUCUUCUGGAAAUGACUGCCCUAGGCUGUAGUCCUUAAAAUGUGCUUGCCUAAACUCUUUUUUUAUGGACUCCUUUUCAGGCCUCAGUCUUCUUUCAAACAGCUAUGUUUCUGGCCUUUAUGUUCAUGCCGAUUGUUUAGACUUUUGCCCCUGCCAUGGUCAUCCGGAGAAACUGCAGAAACCAAACAACUCCCUUCUUUUUUUUUGAGCUUUCUUAUUUAUUUAUUUAUUUAUUUAAAAAUUUUUUUUUAUUUUCCCACUGUACAGCAAGGGGGUCAGAUUAUCCUUACAUGUAUAUAUUACAAUUACAUUUUUCCCCUACCCUUUCUUCUGUUGCAACAUGAGUAUCUAGACAAAGUUCUAACUCCCUUCUUAAAUUGGCUUUCAUCUCCUUGUCAAUACAUCUGUUUGCUGCAUAUCCAGAUUCCCCAGAGUUAGAGAUGCCUUGAUUUCUUAGUUUAGUUGUUGGUCGUCUGUGGGGUUGGGGGACCCAAGUUAAAAAAGCAAGCUACCUUAUUUUCUUUUUCUUUUUUUCUUUUUAGGGCUUACAGUUGUGUCAUAUGGAAGUUCCCAGGCCAGGGGUCGAAUUGGAACUGUAGCUGCCAGCCUAUGCCACAGCCACAGCCUACGUGUGUUCUGAGCCACAUCUGCAACUGACCUACGCCACAGCUCAUGGCAAUGCUGGAUCCUUAACCCACUGAGCGAGGCCAGGGAUUGAGCCCUCAUCCUCAUGGAUACUAGUCAGGUUCUUAACCCACUGAGCCACAGCAGGAACUCCCCUAUUUCCUUUUUUAGGAAAGCAUUCUUAGAAGUAGUCUUUUCUUCCUAAUGUUAAGCCCUAACAUGUGCCAAACAUGAGACUCACUUUCAGCAAUUUUACUGUUAAACUCUAGGUUGCUUUUUGAAACAAAUCCUGAAUGUAUACAUGCAUAAAGAAACCAAAAAAAUUCUGUCAUUUAAGCCACAUAGUUUGUAGUACUUUGUUAUAGUAGCCCUAGCAGACUAAUAAGAUUUAAUUUGGUAACAGAUGAUCUAAUACCCACUUAAAAACCCAUAGAAAAUUUACUUGCGAGGUCAGGUGUAGAAACUAGAUUAUUUCCUCAUGACAAUUUAUUUCCUAUAGAGGGAUUGCAGGAAAAGUCUAGACUGUCACUCACAACCUUGCUUGAAAGGUAUACAAGCAGAUCUUCAAGAUUAUCUUUAGGUCUGUUUUUCAAAUUAAGGGAGUACUUGUUAAGUCCGAUCUAUACAGCAAUACAGAAGAUGCUUCAAAGACAGGAGUACAAAAGCAAGAUGAAUUUAGCAUAGGUCAGUAAGUGUAUAUAUUGUCCUGGAAAGAAAUAUAAGUUGGCAAAGCAGCAAGACUCUUCUUCUUUAAUGAUGUGAUGGUUUAAAAAUGCACUGACCCACUCUCAACUUACAGGGCUGGCUCCCAUCCAGACCUCCUUCUUAUAGAGGCUGCUAGGUAGUUUGCUUAGUAACAUACUUAAUGGGACUGCAGGGAAUUUGGUUUUCCAGCUAAAUGAGUUUAGAAUGCUCCAAUAAAAGCCAAAGUUGAGAUGGGAGGAAAAAAAGUAAGAAGAAAAAGAAGAAGAAUUUAAGAAAGUCCACAAGUGAAAACCACUCGCACAUAUCAUAUGCAGAUAGUUUUUCACAAGUUUCUUUUUGUUAUUCUGUAUUCACAAAUAAUUGACACUCAGAAGUAAAUCUAUUUUUUUGCAGAAAACACAGCUGACAGAAAGUCGGGUUUUAGAGUUUGCCAUAAAGGUAUUCCUUAAAUAUAUCUACAUUAAUUUACGAAGAAGAAAACUUAAUUUUUCAGAAAGAGUUAAGUUGUUCUGGCACUGUUGAACUUUCUUCAGGCAGGCAUUUUAAGAGGGAUUGGGUCAUCUGGAGGUGUGCCAAUGAGCUAUUAGAAAUGAUGCUAAUAUUUGUUGAGAUGGUAAUGAUUUUCUCUUUUAAACCUGUUGAUAUGACGAAUGAAUGACAUAGAUCUUUUAAAAAUAGAUCUUUCAAUGGUAAUCUUCUUAACAUUCCAAAAAGAUGAACUUAAACAGUAGAAAUGUUUUUAUGAGUCACUGGAUUUGCUUUUUAGUGUUUUGUUCACCAUACCUAUAUUAUAUAUAAGAUAGACAUAUUACUUUCUGUUCUUUUCCCAUUUCCUGGUUUUGUUGUCAAGAUUAUGUUGGUGUCAUAGAGUUGGAAAAUAAAUCACUUCACCCUUCCUCCCCUCUCCUUUUUUCCUAUGUCCUGGGAAAGUAUAUGAUUGAAAUUCUUUGUUUAUUCAAAGUCUGAUGAGACUUGCAUCUAAAAAUCUCUGAUUCUGUAUACUAAUUGUGGAAAGAUAUUUUUUUAAGCUAGUAAUUCCAUUUUUUUAAUGGUUGUAAAUAUAUUUGGAUUUUUAUUUUUAUUCCUUCUUGAGACUGAUUAUAUUUUGAUAUAGAUUUUUCCAUUUGAUGAAAGUUUUCCAAUUAAUGGCAUAAAAUUAUUUAUGGAAUUAUUUUAGUAUCUUUUAACUCUGUUGUAUCUCUGAUUAUGUUCUCUUUUUCAUUACUAGUAUUUAUUUAGCCUCUUUCCUAUAUCAUUUUAAUGUUUCAUACUCACUAAAAUUUUAUCUGAAUCAUUUUGUUUUUUCAAAGAAUUAACUUCAGGCUUAAUGAUUGCCUGUAAAUCUUUUUUUAUUAUUUAAUUUUUGUUCUUACCUUUAUUAUUACUUCAACUAAUUUUAUUUUUAUUUUUCAUCAUCUAGCUUUCUAAAUUUAUAGUCUUUCUUCUGUCAAUAAAAACGUUGUCUUUAAACUUUUUAAAAAGUGUUCUCUUAAUAUAUGUGAUAAUGAGCCAGUUGGUUUUUAGAUUUUCAUUGGUUUACUUGGCUUAUUUAUAAGGAAAGUGACUUAUUUAUCAUAGGAGCUUUAAACUUUUAAUGAUUUAAGUUUGAGUGUUAGUAAAAUCUUCUUUUGGUAAACUCCAGCAGUAACAUGGAAAUUUCAGUGGACUACUCUGAUGUAUAUAAAUCUAAACAAAAACACUGCUCAGAGAUUUAUUAGUAGGACUUAUCAUUUUUCUUAUAUAUGACAGUUCUAUUGAACAUUUUGUUUCUUUUUUAAAUUAUUGAAUAACUUUGUACUAAUUAUAAUUAUGACAUAAUUUCAUGGAUGUAAGUAAAAAUUUCCUUUAUUUAAUUUCCCAUUUUAUUGGUUUGGUGAUAUUUAAUAAUGAUUUGUUUUGUUUAUGCAUAUAUAUUUUUACACUUUUUUGAUUUUUUAGGGCUGCAUCUGCAGCAUAUGGAGGUUCCCAGGCUAGGAGUCAAAUCGGAGAUAUAGCCGCCGGCCUAUGCCAAAGCCACAGCAUUGCCAGAUCUGAGCCAUGUCUGAAACCUACACUGCAGCUCAGAGCAACACCAGCUCCCUAACCCACUGAGUGAGGCCAGGGAUCGAACCUGCAACUUAAUGGUUCCUAGUCAGAUUCGUUUCUGCUUAGCCACAAUGGGAACUCCUGUUUAUGCAUAUUUAUAAGGAAGAACUUCACUUAUCAUCAUUGGUGAGGUUGAACCAGAAUUAAAAUUUUAAAAACUGAGGGCUAAAAUACCCUUUAUAAACCAUAUCAUUCAGUAAGUGAAGAACAAGAAGCCUAAAGCUGCAUUGUACAAUAUGUUAUUACCAACUGUGGAGCCCUUGAAAUAUAGCUAGUCCAAACUGAGAUGUG